rnacentral:rRNA from 1 species
CAUGUGUAGCGGUGAAAUGCGUAGAUAUAUGGAGGAACNCCAGUGGCGAAAGCGGCUCUCUGGUCUGUCACUGACGCUGAGGCUCGAAAGCGUGGGUAGCGAACAGGAUUAGAUACCCUGGUAGUCCACGCCGUAAACGAUGAGUGCUAGGUGUUAGGCCCUUUCCGGGGCUUAGUGCCGGAGCUAACGCAAUAAGCACUCCGCCUGGGGAGUACGACCGCAAGGUUGAAACUCAAAGGAAUUGACGGGGGCCCGCACAAGCGGUGGAGCAUGUGGUUUAAUUCGAAGCAACGCGAAGAACCUUACCAGGUCUUGACAUCCCGAUGCUAUUCUUAGAGAUAGGGAGUUACUUCGGUACAUCGGAGACAGGUGGUGCAUGGUUGUCGUCAGCUCGUGUCGUGAGAUGUUGGGUUAAGUCCCGCAACGAGCGCAACCCUUAUUGUUAGUUGCCAUCAUUAAGUUGGGCACUCUAGCGAGACUGCCGGUAAUAAACCGGAGGAAGGUGGGGAUGACGUCAAAUCAUCAUGCCCCUUAUGACCUGGGCUACACACGUGCUACAAUGGUCGGUACAACGAGUUGCGAGCCGGUGACGGCAAGCUAAUCUCUGAAAGCCGAUCUCAGUUCGGAUUGGAGGCUGCAACUCGCCUCCAUGAAGUCGGAAUCGCUAGUAAUCGCGGAUCAGCACGCCGCGGUGAAUACGUUCCCGGGCCUUGUAUACACCGCCCGUCACACCACGAGAGUUUGUAACACCCGAAGUCGGUGAGGUAACCUUUUAGGGGCCAGCCG